GCCCUUCAGGUUGAGGAUCUGCUGCUCUACUGCCCCAGGGUCUGAUGGGACACCCACACACAUCAGGAAGUCUGAGGUGGAGUCAUCAGUCUGAACACACACACACAGACACACACACAACAAACAAGACUAUCAGCAUCUGAGUGUUAGUUAGUAGUGUUAUCUAGCUAUCUCAUUCAUUCAUUUAUCUUCUGUAAAUCCGUGUCAAGGUCGUGAUGGAUCCAGAGUCUGUCCCAGGAACACUGGAGGUGAGGCAUUAACACCCUCGGAUGGAAUGCCAGUCCAGGGCAGCAUGCAUGCACAUUUACAUCUUGGGGAAGGAUCUCGACAUACCGAAGCUCAGCACUCCUGAGAACAGGAGCAGGAAGAAGUGUCGUUCCCGCAUGGUGAGAAGAAGAUCAAGGAGAACUGAAAAACGAAUAAAGAGUCAGGAGAAUCAUCAGCGCACAACAGAGAAGAUACGGAUUUACAAACGACAAUUAAACAACAAGUAUCAGAGUUUAUGUUAGGGUUAGUUGAAGAUGUGGUUUAGUGAUGGAGCUUGUUGAUGUUUGUGAGUGAUCUCAUGAUCAUUAUUUGGAAUGUCAAAAAAAAUCUGGGUGUUGUCUGCGUGAACUUGUGAUGCUGAUCCACUGUUUUAACUUCUACUGACCAAUCAGGAAGUGUCUUUCUGCUUAUACUUGUCGCAUGUUUCUGUUGGAUACCAUUUUAAACGUAAAAGGUUCAGACGUUUAAAUGUGUGUAAUAAAUGUGUUAAUGUUAAUAUUAUAGCCCCGUGUUCAGAGGAACUUUUCUUCUGCUGUUCUUAGUUGCCUUUGGAAAGGAAAAAGACAGGUUUGGUGUGUGUUGUGUACAGCAUGCUUUUUUUUCAGUCUGGAAUGUCCACACCUUUUUUUCUGGAUAAUGUGAUGUAUAUUGUUAUGAAAACAGUGUUAUAGAAUUCUAUUACUAGGACGUAAUGAUACACACCGAGAGGAUGUAGCGUACACUUAAAACUUAAUGUCCAUCUAAAGGUGUAUUUUGAUUCUCUGUAAGAACUGGUUACCUGUACAAUGCUUUUUUCCCCUGUUACUAAAAUUUUAGCAGUAUAUACACUCACUGCCCACUUUAUUAGGAACACCUGUAGAGCUUUAGUUAAUGUGUUGUUUACUUUCAUUCACUUGAAAAGCAAGACUGUUUCUGUAUCUGUUCCUAUACUUUUGCUCACCUAAAAUUGGGCGGUCUGAUACAAAAGGUGCCAUGUUAUAAGGUGUGUAACACAUAUGGAUUUAAACACCAGGAAAUAAAAGCUGAAAUUCUGAUCUAUCGUCUUAUCUCCAUCUUUUGGUCUCAAACCCUUUGGUGUCUUUGGUGUACAGCACAAACUACAGAACUGGCAUUGCAGUCCCAAUACUUUUGGAGAGGACUGUUCCACAUUCGUUCCACUGUGAACAUAGAUUUAUAAAUACUAUCCCAGCUAAAAUGAUUAUUGUUUAAUCUUUCCUUAAUUCUCAUUAAAAAUGUAUUGUUAUUUUAAAGCACAAGUUAAACUGCUAUUAAAACUCCAACUCCGAAACACAGACAUUAUAAGAGGGAGUUUUAACCUUUUAUAUGUAGAGUAAAGGAGUUUGGUCUGAUAAGUGGCUGGAUUGUGUAAUUUCUCUCUUUGUUCUAUUGUGUGGUGGUUUCAGUUAUUUGUCAUGUGCU
ensembl:lncRNA